AAUCCAUGCAUUGAGCAUUUCUGAAUUAACUCCUUAAAUCAUUCCCAAACUUCAUAUAAUGUUUCAUCAUCUAACUACCGAAAAGAUGUGCUGGCAUUUCUAAGCU
rfam:Gossypium arboreum cultivar AKA8401 contig_22522_3, whole genome shotgun sequence.